rnacentral:lncRNA from 1 species
GCCAAAGAAUGAUUUUCUGUCGAGGGAAGUAGAUUUCCAAGGAACAGAACUGAAAGCUCCUAGCACUAGGAAGACAAAGUACUUCAAGGGUCCUUGAUGCCAGCCUGUCCUUUGAUUCCGGGUGCCACUGGUUUCUCAAGCUGCUGAUGUCCACGCGGGGAGAAGGGUUAUCUGCUGACUCCCCAGCACCUACUACAGAAUCUUCUGAACACAGCCUCCAGAAAUACAAGGAUGAUGAUGAUGAUAAUAACAACAAUAACAGUAAUAAUGCUGUUUGAUUUUCCAGUGAAGAAAUACGUGACAGCAGAGGAAGAAAGCCAGAAAAAUACAUUGGAAUCACUGUGUACAGAUGUUCUGCUGUCUUUCCUGUGCUGCUGGCUCAAGGCUGCAACCCUGCAGCCUGGCAUCAUGCAGAAGCCACACAGUUGAGGAGCUGAUGUCCUUGAAGAGCUGUAUGGAAGAAAAUCCACCAGCCCAGCAGACUCACCCAAGCAAGAAGUAAACUCCACUAUGUGUAUGGGCCCAGCAACCCUGGAACUGCAUCUACCUUGGCAGAUAAAGUUGAAUUCAUAAUUUUGUAGUCAUCAGGCUUCAAAAUUACAGCCAUUUUUGACCUAAGAUUUGCAAAAAAGCUCUUCUGGGUAAUAUUCAUCACAUUGUUUCUUUUCUUUAUAUUCCUACUGUUACCCUCAAAUUUAGGACUUUACUUCUCAUGUUUGAAGAACUAAAGGACACGACUGUCCAAGUCCUUUCUUCCUAUUCCACUUGUCUAAUCCACCCCAUCUGCACUGGAUGAGCACAUUAAAAAUUUCAUUCUAUCCUUUCCUGUUGAGAAUCAAAAUCCUCAAAGGCUUCCUAAUGUUAAAGGGAUACAACUUGAAAAUUCUCGGCAGAAAAUACACUUCCUGGAGUCAACCCACCAUUGCGAGCACUUGCCAUCGUUUCCCAGCAGAAUCCCCCGACAGGGCCACUAUUUUGCACACGUGAUUUUUUUCUCAUAAGUGCCUACUGGUUCACACAUGUCAGUCCAGCCAGAAUAUUACUUUCCCCUUCUUACUUCUGAAAAUCCUACCUUUCCCUCAUCAAAGCAGAGUGAGCCGUCUGCUCCAGACUCCCUUGCAGUUGGCUCUGGUCUGCAUAAUCUCAAGCUGUCUUCUCCAAGAACACGUUAAGCCCAUCUUCCUGGAGAGCUAUCU